rnacentral:lncRNA from 10 species
CCCCUCACAAGAGCAAUCUCCUUACGCCUGCUGGUGAGUGCUCCCAAGCACCUGGCUACUAGCCCAGAGGAAAGUGGGUCACUUCACAGAUCUUCCAUUUCAUAAAAAUAACCAUCAGAAUUCUGACAUAAGGCAUGUUUUAAGGGAAUGUGUGAGUUAUAGCAGAUACCUUUCAUGUAACAUUUUAAAAUAUUCAAUUGUAAUAAUUCAAUUCAAAAAAAUAUUUCAGGUCAGGCACAGAGGCUCUUGCCUAAAAUCCCAUUGCUUUGGGAGGCCUAGGCAGGAGGAUGGUUUGGGGCCAGGAGUUCGAAAUGAGCCUGGGCAACACAGCAAGACCCCAUCUCCA